AUGGAUUGGGGGUUGUUCGGGGCUGAGGGGUGAUUGGGUUGUUAAGAAUGUAUGUUUGUCUGUUCCUGGUGGUGUUGUGUUGUGAGCUGCGGCGUUAGGUGGUGGUGUUGAUGCCCGGGGUCUGUCGGCUGGUAAGAGCUGUGUCAGGGCGGUAAAAGUAGUGGUGAGGAUGAACAUAGUAAUGGUUAUGGUGAUGCAGGAGCAGAUGGCCGGUUGAUAAGUUGGCUGUGGCUGUGGGCUGGGUGCCAUCAAAGGAGGUGUGAGCUGUGCAUGGCCGUAAUUGCCGUACUUGGCCGACGCAGUACGUGUGCGUGUGUAUGUGUGUAUAUGUGUAUAUGUAUACGUAUGUAUACGUAUCGUUAUGUGAGCUGGUUUGUGAGAGCAGAUCCGAAGGCAAUUUCAGGUGUCAAUACAUACAUACGUACAGAUCGACAUGUAAGCUGCCGUCCGUUCAAACUGUUCCGACAUGGCUCCUUGUUUUAUUUCUGUGCUCGUGGUGUGUGCAUGUAUGUAUGUAUGAAUGUAUGCAUAUAGAAAAGGGGGGCUCCUGGGGGAUGCGGCGGGGAGUGAGGGGCCCCGUGCGUGUGUAUGUAUGUAUGUAUGUGUGUAUGUAUGUGUGUGUGUUUUGGGGGCCCAGCCACUCGGCUAGAUGCACAUGCGGAAGUCCGCUGUAUGUAUGUGCAUGUGUAGGUACGUAUAUAUGUAAUGAAGAAACCUUAACGGCCUACAUCUUGUAGGAGAUGUGGUCAGGUAUGUACGGCAUGUGGAUGGAGGUCGACACGGGGUCCCGAGCCGCUGGGUGCUGCCCCAAUGCCCGGCCCCCGACCCCCCAAGAGGGCCGCACAGGGCCGUGACGAUGAUGGUGAUGGCUACACGACCUUGGCUGCACUAAGAAAAGUCGGAGGAGAAGUGCGAAAAGUCUAUUUUUGCAGAACGUUGACGUUUAAAAAGAUCUGUCGUACACUGGGGUGGUAUCACGGCAGCUCGGCGGCACGUGACAUAAUAAUGUUGAUAUUUGAGUCGCUGGGGUAGUUGAUGUUGGCGUGAUGGGCUUUGCUGGAGCAAACGUUUUGAGAGAAGAACACGCCGCCUUCUUGCUCGGGGUUCUUUUCAUCAGUACCGGUACUGGUACUGGUCCAGGUGUUCAAACCGGGGAAGGGAAGGGAAUGAAACACACAGAGAUAUACGCACCGAGAGACACAGAAAGAGAG
rnacentral:lncRNA from 1 species